UCGGGAAUUUUGGGCAAUGGGCGAAAGCCUGAUCCAGCCAUGCCGCGUGAGUGACGAAGGCCUUAGGGUUGUAAAACUCUUUCGUCGGGGACGAUAAUGACGGUACCCGAAGAAGAAGCUCCGGCUAACUUCGUGCCAGCAGCCGCGGUAAUACGAAGGGAGCUAGCGUUGUUCGGAAUCACUGGGCGUAAAGCGCACGUAGGCGGAUAGUUAAGUCAGGGGUGAAAUCCUGGGGCUCAACCCCAGAACUGCCUUUGAUACUGGCUGUCUCGAGGUCGAGAGAGGUUGGUGGAAUUCCUAGUGUAGAGGUGAAAUUCGUAGAUAUUAGGAAGAACACCAGUGGCGAAGGCGGCCAACUGGCUCGAUACUGACGCUGAGGUGCGAAAGCGUGGGGAGCAAACAGGAUUAGAUACCCCAGUAGUCCCUGAGCGGGCUGGCAAGGCGCAU
rnacentral:rRNA from 1 species